CUCCUCGCCCCUCCCCUCCCUCUGCGCCCUGAGUCGCGGGAGGGCUGAGUCAUCGCUCCGGAGCCGCCGGGAGAGCAGGCGAGCAGUGCUUGUGUUCAAGUCACCCUUCCAGUAGCCUAAGGCUGCGUCAGAAUGCCAGCAUCAUUCACCUCACUUCAUCUCAUCACGUAGGUGUUGUGUCAUCUUACAUCAUCACAAAAGAAGGAUAUUUGCUGAGUGACCACCUGAUGCUCGUUGCUGUGUUUGGUGCUGAGUGGUGGGCAGAGUGGGAAACAAGGCACAACCCCUGCCCACAAGGAGCUUACCGUUCACAACGAAUCAACCAUCUGACCAGCUGUCGCUCCAGCCUGCAGCCCGCGAGCAGCUGCACGUUCACAACUUUGACAUCUGCUUGAAAGAACAAGUUUACUGCCUCCACAGGGAGCUGAAGCUCAGGGUGAUGGAGCGGGAUCCACACCAAUUACAGAGCGUGCUACCUGUCAUGUCUUAGCAAGGGCCUCAGAGGGCAGAGACAGCACAGUGGGAGGUGGUGAGGAGGCCCUGACACAGGCCUGCAUGGGGAGGACCUGGAAUAGACAGCCACUAACUGGCCUGGGACAAGCCUUCAACUUGGUACAGAGCCUUGGCCAUCCUGGCUCUAACAAGUGUGGGAUUAACUGUUUUGAGAGCAAUGUAGAAUGUAGCAUUUUGUCCUUUUGUUGAGGC